UGGGGAAUAUUGGACAAUGGGCGAAAGCCUGAUCCAGCCAUGCCGCGUGUGUGAAGAAGGUCUUCGGAUUGUAAAGCACUUUAAGUUGGGAGGAAGGGCAGUAAGCGAAUACCUUGCUGUUUUGACGUUACCGACAGAAUAAGCACCGGCUAACUCUGUGCCAGCAGCCGCGGUAAUACAGAGGGUGCAAGCGUUAAUCGGAAUUACUGGGCGUAAAGCGCGCGUAGGUGGUUCGUUAAGUUGGAUGUGAAAGCCCCGGGCUCAACCUGGGAACUGCAUCCAAAACUGGCGAGCUAGAGUAGGGCAGAGGGUGGUGGAAUUUGCUGUGUAGCGGUGAAAUGCGUAGAUAUAGGAAGGAACACCAGUGGCGAAGGCGACCACCUGGGCUCAUACUGACACUGAGGUGCGAAAGCGUGGGGAGCAAACAGG
rnacentral:rRNA from 1 species